GAUAAACGCUAGCGGCAGGCUUAACACAUGCAAGUCGAGGGGCAGCAUAGAUUGUAGCAAUACAAUUGGUGGCGACCGGCGCACGGGUGCGUAACGCGUAUGCAACCUACCCGUCACAGGGGGAUAAUCCGGAGAAAUCUGGUCUAAUACCCCAUAACAUAUGGAUCGGCAUCGGUUCAUGUUGAAAUUUUCGGAGGUGAUGGACGGGCAUGCGUAGCAUUAGCUUGUUGGUGAGGUAACGGCUCACCAAGGCGACGAUGCUUAGGGGGACUGAGAGGUUUUCCCCCCACACUGGUACUGAGACACGGACCAGACUCCUACGGGAGGCAGCAGUGAGGAAUAUUGGUCAAUGGGCGCAAGCCUGAACCAGCCAUGCCGCGUGCAGGAUGACGGCUCUAUGAGUUGUAAACUGCUUUUGUACGAGGGUAAAGUGGGUUACGUGUAACCUUUUGAAAGUAUCGUACGAAUAAGGAUCGGCUAACUCCGUGCCAGCAGCCGCCGUAA
rnacentral:rRNA from 1 species